AGAUUGAACGCUGGCGGCAGGCCUAACACAUGCAAGUCGAGCGGCAGCACGGGUACUUGUACCUGGUGGCGAGCGGCGGACGGGUGAGUAAUGCCUAGGAAUCUGCCUGGUAGUGGGGGAUAACGCUCGGAAACGGACGCUAAUACCGCAUACGUCCUACGGGAGAAAGCAGGGGACCUUCGGGCCUUGCGCUAUCAGAUGAGCCUAGGUCGGAUUAGCUAGUUGGUGAGGUAAUGGCUCACCAAGGCGACGAUCCGUAACUGGUCUGAGAGGAUGAUCAGUCACACUGGAACUGAGACACGGUCCAGACUCCGUACGGGAGCAGCAGUGGGAAUAUUGGACAAUGGGCGAAAGCCUGAUCCAGCCAUGCCGCGUGUGUGAAGAAGGUCUUCGGAUUGUAAAAGCUAACGUUUAAGGUGGAGGAAGGCAAGUUACCUAAUACGUAUCUUGUUUGACGUUACGACUAGAAUAAGACACCGGCUAAC
rnacentral:rRNA from 1 species